UGGCCUUGGCGAUGCGUUCGAUGAGAGGCGCAAGAUCACGAGCUGGAUUGUGGAGGGAGAUGGGGACGGCUCUGCGAGAAAUCUCCUUGAACACGGCAUUGGAAACCGCUGGCGAUUUGAGCAAGUAUAAUGUAGUUGUGCUCUUGACAAGUGGCGCGGACACGUGGUUGCGCUCAGGCUGCUAGAAGGUGUAAAGAACUAAAACUUUUGUUUGUCUCACCGAGGGAGCUACCAAGAACAACGAUCAUCCCAGUCGACGGACUACAACCUCCAUUCCGUUGGCCUGCUUGAGAGAAACCGAUCCGAGGAACAAAGCUUGAAUGAGCAAUGCAGCACAGGAGGAGAGCUUACGUUGCCAAAACAGCACCACCGCCUUGAUCAGUCCUCGUCGAACCUCUCGGCCUUGCCCAUCCCAAACGCCGGUCCCCGGUCCAACUUUGUCAACCGA